ensembl:misc_RNA Y_RNA Y RNA
GGCUAUUCUGAAGGUAGUGAGUUACCUCAAUUGAUUGUUCGCAGUCAAAGAUUGAAAUCCUUGUUCUACUCUUUUCACCCUCUCACUACUGCACUUGACUAGUCUUAA